AGUGAACGCUGGCGGUAGGCCUAACACAUGCAAGUCGAACGGCAGCACAGUAAGAGCUUGCUCUUACGGGUGGCGAGUGGCGGACGGGUGAGGAAUACAUCGGAAUCUACUUUUUCGUGGGGGACAACGUAGGGAAACUUACGCUAAUACCGCAUACGACCUACGGGUGAAAGCAGGGGAUCUUCGGACCUUGCGCGAUUGAAUGAGCCGAUGUCGGGUUAGCUAGUUGGCGGGGUAAAGGCCCACCAAGGCGACGAUCCGUAGCUGGUCUGAGAGGAUGAUCAGCCACACUGGAACUGAGACACGGUCCAGACUCCUACGGGAGGCAGCAGUGGGGAAUAUUGGACAAUGGGCGCAAGCCUGAUCCAGCCAUACCGCGUGGGUGAAGAAGGCCUUCGGGUUGUAAAGCCCUUUUGUUGGGAAAGAAAAGCAGCAGGUUAAUACCCCGCUGUUCUGACGGUACCCAAAGAAUAAGCACCGGCUAACUUCGUG
rnacentral:rRNA from 1 species